rnacentral:lncRNA from 1 species
CCACGUGAGCGAUCCGCGUGCAUUCGAUCGAACGGUCUAGGUCUCACGCGUGCGGACGGCCCAGAUCUCACGUGCACGGACGGCUCAGAUCUCACGCAUGCGGACGACCCAUAUUGAAUCACGCACAGAUGGCCCAGAUCGCAUCGCGAUGGACGGCCCAGAUUUAUUCCCAUUUUAAUCGCGAUCGGACGGUCCAGAUUAAAAUAUGAUGGACAG